UACAGAGGGGGCAAGCGUUGUUCGGAAUUACUGGGCGUAAAGGGCGCGUAGGCGGCCUGCUAAGUCGAACGUGAAAUCCCCGGGCUCAACCCGGGAACUGCGUCCGAUACUGGCAGGCUUGAAUUCGGGAGAGGGAUGCGGAAUUCCAGGUGUAGCGGUGAAAUGACGUAGAUAUCUGGAGGAACACCGGUGGCGAAGGCGGCAUCCUGGACCGAAAUUGACGCUGAGGCGCGAAAGCCAGGGGAGCAAACGGG
rnacentral:rRNA from 1 species